UCGGGAAUUUUGGGCAAUGGGCGAAAGCCUGACCCAGCAACGCCGCGUGAAGGAUGAAGUAUUUCGGUAUGUAAACUUCGAAAGAAUAGGAAGAAUAAAUGACGGUACUAUUUAUAAGGUCCGGCUAACUACGUGCCAGCAGCCGCGGUAAUACGUAGGGACCAAGCGUUGUUCGGAUUUACUGGGCGUAAAGGGCGCGUAGGCGGCAAUUCAAGUCAUCUGUGAAAUCUCCGGGCUUAACUCGGAACGGUCAGAUGAUACUGCUUUGCUAGAGUGCAGAAGGGGCAAUCGGAAUUCUUGGUGUAGCGGUGAAAUGCGUAGAUAUCAAGAGGAACACCUGAGGUGAAGACGGGUUGCUGGGCUGACACUGACGCUGAGGCGCGAAAGCCAGGGGAGCAAACGGGGAUUAGAUACCCUUAGUAGUCCCUGAGCGGGCUGGCAAGGCGCAU
rnacentral:rRNA from 1 species